GUCAACGGUGCUGGCUCCCGUUGGUGCGCGAUGCCACGAAUGUGACUAUGUUCCACUUCGAGGGCACACCACCUUCAGCUUGAAUGUUCCGGCGCCGUUGUCGUGAACUUCUCCCCUANUAGAAGGCCACCCGUUGCGUGUCGGUCUACGGCCCGAGUGGGCGCCUGUCACGUCGCUUCGUGCAUUCGUGGCAGACCCUCGGUNGCCUGGCCGGCUGCGCGACGGUACUCGCACGGUAUCGGGCCGCAACCAAGUCUUGAAUGUAUGGGCAUCAGGCCCGCCGCAAGCUCGAUUAGUUCUUACCCGGAGGUACGGACCUCGUUCCGUCCCCGGGCCUGGUCAGCUGUUAGCAGGCGGUGUCCUCGGACUCUCCAAAACAUGAAUCACCGGUCCGCGACGCUAUUGCUUUGGGUACUCUCAGUACCCGUCUUGAAACACGGACCAAGUAGUCUAACUUGUGCGCGAGUCAUUGGGAUAUAUAAACCUAAUGUCGAAAUGAAAGUGGAAAUCGGCCUCCGUGCCGAUCGAUGGAGGGUGGGCCGCGUAACG
rnacentral:rRNA from 1 species